rnacentral:pre_miRNA from 1 species
CUACAUGCUUUUCCACGGCUUUCUUGAACUUAGUACUCAGGUCGGUUUCUCUCUCUCUCUCUCUCUCUCUCUAUGUCUCAAGCAAAUGAAAGCAAAGUACAUCGACCACAUCUCAGUACAAAGCUCAAGAAAGCUGUGGGAAAACAUGAAAA